rnacentral:tRNA from 1 species
GCCUGGGUGGCUUAGUUGGUUAAGCAUCUGACUCUUAAAUUUGGCUCAGGUCAUGAUCUCACAUUUUGUGGGUUUGAGCCCCACACUGGGCU